rnacentral:sRNA from 1 species
AUUUCGGGCGCGCUUGAAUGUCACACAUGCGUCGUCACAUGUAUUCGGGUGCCCGGCCGGUCCGGGUCGAUACAUGGGACGCAUGGAGGCGAAACC